rnacentral:lncRNA from 1 species
CUGAACACUAUGCAGAAAGGAGGAAUGUACAGCAGAGACAAAGAGCUUCUGCUCUGUAGCAUGCUGGCUUUUAGUGCGUCUGCAGACAUGGUCCCACCUGGCUCUGCCACUGUAUGCCUGCUUGGGGCUGCUGUCCCAAGCCAUGGGUGAGUCCCCUGCACAGCACAAAAACCCCAGGUUUGACUGGAGUGGUUAGAAAAAGUUUACCAAAUGUGUACUCCACAUCUGCCUUUCAUGCUUGAAAGAGAAAAACUUAAUCAAAUGCUCGAGUGUAACUGCUUUAUUACACUGGAUUAACUAGA